CCGAAUCCCAUCUCCCGCGAGAUAACGAGAGUUUGCGGAAGGUCGAUGACUGGUCCUACUCGACGAUCCACUACUGUGCUGAAGCCGUCACCGACGAGGAGUUCCGUGCAGGGAUGAAGGCCGUCUUCGACUCCACUGGGGAAAAGGGUGAGAACCUAAUGAGAAGGGCCAUCCUCGUCCGCGGCGUCCACCUAGGCAGCUCCAAGCAGUUUCUCCUCGACCACUUCACCACCUACGGCCCCAUCAACGAAUGCAUCCUCGUCAUCAAUGCCGCCGGAAAAGGCAUGAGCCUCGCCUUGCUCAUCUUCAAGACCCAGGCCGGUGCCCUCGCGGCCGUCGACAAGCCCACCAAGUUCGUCAAUGGAUCCCUGACCCACUCUCAGUUCGUCGUCGCCGGCGGCUGCUAUCCACCUCCGAGGAUCCAUCCUGCCGGCACUGAGGUAUACGUCAGCAACCUCCUCCCAAAUCAUCCCUCUCUUCAUACUCUCCGAGAGGAAUUUCUCAACUAUGGGGAUAUACAUUUUGGCCCUGCCCGCUAUGCCAUGCCCCCGGGGUUUGUCUACAUCAUAUAUGCUACACCAGAAGAGGCAAAUGCAGCAACCCAGCAGCCCAGUAAGAUCGUUGCCGGCCGCCCUCUGUUUUGCAGUUCAACAAGGGAUGAAGUUCUCAAGGCCGCCCGCGAGAACGUGAAGGGUAUACUGGACAAGUAUCGGACUGAGGCACUGGCUGCCUUCUCCAAGCCCCACCCAGCCAACACCACAGUUUACAUCACCCACGUCAACCGUGACUGUGAUCCACACAAGCUCAAGGACCUAUUUGCUGAGUUUGGCGAGAUCUUCGCCGGUCCCAUAAAGAUUGAUGCGAAGAGGAAUGUUUGUCUUGUCAUCUACAAGACCGAGGAGGGCAAAAAGAUGGCACUCCAAGAUCCCUGGAAACUAAUCAAUGGUCACAAGAUACAUUGCUCUGCAGACACUCUAGCAAUUGAGCAGGAGGCGGAGAAGUUG
rnacentral:misc_RNA from 1 species